GGGUUGUGAGGUUAAGCGACUAAGCGUACACGGUGGAUGCCCUGGCAGUCAGAGGCGAUGAAGGGCGUGCUAAUCUGCGAUAAGCGCCGGUAAGGUGAUAUGAACCAUUAUAACCGGCGAUACCCGAAUGGGGAAACCCAGUGUGUUUCGACACACUAUCAUUAACUGAAUCCAUAGGUUAAUGAGGCGAACCGGGGGAACUGAAACAUCUAAGUACCCCGAGGAAAAGAAAUCAACCGAGAUUCCCCCA
rnacentral:rRNA from 1 species